UGGUGGAGUGAUUUGUCUGGUUAAUUCCGUUAACGAACGAGACCUCAGCCUACUAUUGUAGUUUAUGUUCUUAUCGCUUUUCCUUGCCACUUGUGGGCGGGAUCCGUGAUAGGGCAAACUUCUUAGAGGGACUGUCAGUUUUCAGCUGACGGAAGUUUGAGGCAAUAACA
rnacentral:rRNA from 1 species